rnacentral:rRNA from 1 species
CAUGUAGGCGGCUUAAUAAGUCGAGCGUGAAAAUGCGGGGCCCAACCCCGUAUGGCGCUGGAAACUGUUAGGCUUGAGUGCAGGAGAGGAAAGGGGAAUUCCCAGUGUAGCGGUGAAAUGCGUAGAUAUUGGGAGGAACACCAGUGGCGAAGGCGCUUUCUGGACUGUGUCUGACGCUGAGAUGCGAAAGCCAGGGUAGCAAACG